rnacentral:snoRNA from 1 species
GUGAUGUUAGCUGGUAUUGCUGAUUCUUGAUGACUGACGCCAAGUCUGA